GUGCCAGCAGCCGCGGUAAUUCCAGCUCCAAAAGCGUAUAUUAAAGUUGUUGCAGUUAAAAAGCUCGUAGUUGAAGUUCUGGCUGUAUUGGGCCUCUGCACUUGAUGCGAAGGAACCAGCAGUCAUCCGCUUGCAAAUACAUGUUCUUCCUUAACCGGUAGACUGUAUAAGUAAGCAAUUUACCUUGAGAAAAACAGAGUGUUCCAGGCAGGUUUGUCCGGAAUGCAUUAGCAUGGAAUAAUAGAAUAUGACUAGAGUCGAUUUGUUGGUUAAAGGCUUUAGUAAUGAUUAAUAGGAACAAUCGGGGCAUUGGUACUCGUCAGUCAGAGGUGAAAUUCUAAGAUUUGACGAAGACUAACUGAUGCGAAAGCGUUUGCCAAGAAUGUUUUCAUUAAUCAAGAACGAAAGUUAGGGGAUCAAAAGACGAUUAGAUACCGUCCUAGUCUUAACUAUAAACUAUACCGACUCGGAUUCAGAUGAAUAUUAAAGUUCAUUUGGGACCGUAGGAGAAAUCAAAGUCUUUGGGUUCU
rnacentral:rRNA from 1 species